rnacentral:rRNA from 1 species
UAGGAUUACCCGCUGAACUUAAGCAUAUCAAUAAGCGGAGGAAAAGAAACUANCAAGGAUUCCUUCAGUAACGGCGAGUGAAGAAGGAAAAGCUCAAAUUUAAANUCUGGUANCAUUUUGCUGCCCGAAUUGUAGUUUAAAGAGAUGUUUUCGGUGGGCACCUUGGUACAAGUCCUUUGGAACAGGGCAUCAUAGAGGGUGAGAAUCCCGUCUCUGACCAGGUGUUGCUUGCUAUGUGAUACAUUUUCUAAGAGUCAGGUUGUUUGGGAAUGCAGCCUAAAAUGGGUGGUAAAUUUCAUCUAAAGCUAAAUAUUGGCGAGAGACCGAUAGCGAACAAGUACCGUGAGGGAAAGAUGAAAAGAACUUUGAAAAGAGAGUUAAACAGUACGUGAAAUUGUUGAAAGGGAAACGUUUGAAACCGUUCUUGGCUGCGGGAGGUCAAACUUCUGUAGCCGGGCCAGCAUCGGUUUGGGUGGUCGGAAAAAAGCCAAGGGAAGGUAGCUCCUUUCGGAGUGUUAUAGCCUUUGGCCCAUACGACGACCUGGACUGAUGCCCGCAAUCGGUGGCCGACUUGUGUGCUCCUUCGACCGCCCAUCUCGGACAGCUUGCUGACCGAGGUAGGCGAGCGAGAGACCCACGCAAGCUCCAGAUCGAAUCUCCGGGCUAACGGCUGGCUUAAAGGUUUUAAAUGACC